AGGAGACAAGUUCUAGUAAAAAUAUGAGAAGGUCUUCUACAAAGAAACCUAAAAGGUUGAACUCAAAGAAUGAGGGAAUGCGCACCUAAGCUUUCAACUCCAUGGUUAUUUUAGUUUCACAUUAAGUAUGAGGUAUAUGGUUAAACUUCAGCAAGUCCAAAGCUUCUAAGUAGGGAUGUAAAUGAGCCAAGCCGAGCUCAGCGUGUUUCGAGCUCUAUAUUCAAAGCUCAAGCUCGGAUUGUAAGAAAGUUUUAAGCUCAAGCUUGACUUGUAUAAUUUAUUAUUUUGUUUAUGAAGAUACAUAAUUAUUUCUGUAUAUAUUAAUAUUUCUAAUUUAAUAUAUAAUAUAUUAUAUA